rnacentral:rRNA from 1 species
UGAGAAAACCUGCCCUUAACUCUGGGAUAAGCCUGGGAAACUGGGUCUAAUACCGGAUAUGACUCCUCAUCGCAUGGUGGGGGGUGGAAAGCUUUAUUGUGGUUUUGGAUGGGCUCGCGGCCUAUCAGCUUGUUGGUGAGGUAAUGGCUCACCAAGGCGACGAUCAGUAGCUGGUCUGAGAGGAUGGCCAGCCACAUUGGGACUGAGACACGGCCCAGACCUCUACGGGAGG